UACGUAGGGUGCAAGCGUUGCCCGGAUUUAUUGGGCGUAAAGGGCGCGUAGGCGGCUCGGCACGUCCGUUGUGAAAUCGCCCGGCUCAACUGGGCGGGGUCAGCGGAUACGGUCGAGCUUGAGCAAGCUAGGGGGCAAUGGAAUUCCCGGUGUAGUGGUGGAAUGCGUAGAUAUCAGGAGGAACACCAGUGGCGAAGGCGGUGCUCUGGGCCGGAACUGACGCUGAGACGCGAAAGCGUGGGGAGCGAACAGG
rnacentral:rRNA from 1 species